GACAAGUGAGGCCCAAAUAAGGCCCAUAUGCCAGUGCCAUGCUUUGAUUCGUACCGCGUUAACUCAUCAAUCGGGAAAAAUGGAGUGCGCCGGCAAGGGACGUGGAACUCGUUGCACCGGUUCGGCCACCCGACGGUGUGGUCGCUGUGGAGUUGUUGCUUACUGUUCAGUCGAUCACCAGGUUAAACAUUGGAAUGAUCAUAAAGAUGAAUGCAAAAGGUUUGAACUACAAAUGGAGAGAAUUGAUGCCUUGAAUGAGUUUCCUUUCACAUUUUCUGAGGAGGCUACUGUUCAGUUAUGUCAAAAACAGGAGAGUAGAUGCUCAUUCUUGAGCAAAAGGGCAAUCCACAAAGUUGGAAUGUGGUUUUACGAAUGUCCUUGUGGGGAAGCUGCUACAUCUUACAAUUUCUCAAGAUUAAAUGAUGGUUGGGUUCUACCUAGACUCCUUUGUCCAUGUAGUGAACCGCUUUCACCAAUAACAAAACGCUUACACAGUUGGAAGGACUAUUAUGAUUGGAGAUGCAUCCCCCUUCACUCUCCUGCUGCUUUGCUUCUUCAUUGGCCACUUACAAUAAGUUAUGCUGUGCAAGUUGCUGGUUUGGAGCCCUUGACUCCAGAAUUUGGCGACACAUUAUGCAUACAUUAUCUAGGGCCUGAGAAGGAGCUUCUACAGCUCUCUGUUUUUGCUGAGCUACUUGCACUUUUCCCUGGGGUGGCAUUACAAAUAGAGUUUUUUGGGCCCAAUAUCCCCGAAGAAAUGAAUGGUAAGACCAUUCACCUUUGCAGUUUUGCUAAGUGCCUUCAGAUGGAUUGUGUUUGCAAAUCUUCAUGCAAAGAUGUUGACAGGAAUGUAUAUUCUAAUAAAUAUCCACGGCUAGUGUUGAAGCUUCAAACAGGGUUUUACCAUGAUUGUUACAAAGACAUUACCAAAGAUUGUUAUCCUCACUUAAUCAUUGCUCCAAAUGCUGGGAUCGCUGCUUAUUCCAGUUGGCUUCCUACCAUUCAUAAUUGUUUAGAUGAAUGUAUCAGGAAUUCAUUAAGGAAAUAAAAGUCCCAGCAAUCUUUUCUGAUUUCUGUGAAGAAGCUUGCCAUCUUGGAGCUUCUUGUUUGAGCAGUGUGAUAGGCCGCCCCAUUACUUUCCCGAUCCAAUUAAACCCAUUCCGACAACCAAUAGCUAUGGAAGACACUGCCCUGUUUCUUCCUUGUUAUUCAAAUUGCUUCCUCUAUGGAUUCUAAAACUUGUUUAAACUUUACGGUAGAGGAUUGAUUAGGUGAGUCAAGUGGUUGCUUUUUUUUUUUUUUUUUUUUUUUUUUUUUUUUUUUUUUUUUUUUAAUUAAGAGAAGAGGAUAUAUUAAGUUUGCCUCCGUUGAUAUUAUAUCUUGAGAUUUUGCCGGCUUAGGCAUAUGAGCAACCAUGUGCUCUAUGAUUGAAGGUAGUUGCUUACAGACUUGGUCCGUUGCUUUUGUUUUAGUGUAAGAAGUCUGAAGAAUUGAACUUCUAAUUUAACAUUAUUAUUAUUCCA